rnacentral:lncRNA from 7 species
AGUAUUACUCUGCUGUUCGUGCAGAAGAAAAUGUUGGAAAGUUGCUGAGCUGUCAGAAAUCAUCACUAUGCUUGGACACGUCGGACAGGAUCACUUGGCAGGACUGCUCCUGUCCAUACUUGGUCAGUCUUAAGCUGGGCAGUGAUUCCCUCAGCUGUACAACUAUUACAAGUUUUCAGGCAUUGUCUGUGUCUCGAAGGAUGGAGAUGAAAAAUGAAGAUCUGGGCUCCACUUUUACAGAGGUCAAGAGCGAUCUGGAGUGCAAAACAAGCAGUGUAAGAAUUGUGGGUGUAUAUACUUACUGAGAGUCAACAGGUUUCGUGUUUGGAGGGCAGAUAUCAUUUCAGUAUACGUUUCCAGGAGCUGAUGAAAAUGAUGGAAGAAAUGGAAAAGGCCAUUAUAAAGGAAAAAAAUGGAAUAUUGGAAGAAAGUAAACAAAUCAUAGAACAUGACAAACUCAUGAAGGGCAUGCAGAAAAAAAUAUACCAAUUCUUAAGAGUGGAAAGCCUUAAACAAGUUGAGAUCAGCCAACAAGGUGAGAAGGUGGAUGACUGCUCUAGCUUGUCCACUCAGAAAAUACCCAUGGUGAAACAGACCCAGAAAUCAAUGAGUGGCUACCCAAAAAAAGUUUAUUCCUGUACUAGGAACUGUCUGUGGCUCUUUGGCAGGUCCUUAAAACUAUCCAUCCGCUGUUCCAUUGGAGUGCUCUUGUAUUAUAAGUGUUUACCUGAUUUGGUCUGGCUAUGUCAUCAAAUGAAUAGCAUCUUCCAGC